GGUUUUGCCUCUUCAACCAGCUGUAGCAACUGAAUUACAAGUGCACAGAGUCGUGAGGAGACUGAUGGCCUGAAUAAUUGGUAGGAGCUGGUUAUCAAGCAUAUGAAGACACUGUGUUGCAAAAGCUCCAAAUGGCUGCAAAAAGACAAAAGUGACAAGCAAAAGUGAUGAGGAAGAGAAUCUUGGAUGGAUCAUGUGUCUCUGAUCUUUUGGAACUCUUAUUAAAGGCAAGGAAUAACUUUCUCCCCUUGUUGCCCAUGUCCCCAUUUCCCUUCUUGCUUGCUUGUUUAUCAGUAAUACCAGACUCACCGACUUCCCCCUACCGAUUUUCUAUCCAGACUGACGUGGCAGAUGCCACCUCAUCUGCCACAUCAGUCACUUACCACGUCAUUCCAUCCCCAAAAAAAAAUCAAUUACUGAUUCGAGCCAACCAAAUUCAAAUCUGCCUCCCUAAAUUCAUUUCCCCCAAAUUUGCAAACCCUAAAAUUUUCCCCAAAUCAAUUCCAAUUUCAGAUAUCCUAGCCACCACAGAAAACGGUUUCAGUCACACUCCAUGCACGCACCACCACCGCACUCCAAUUUCACCAACGUAGCCAAGCCAACCUUUCUCACUAUCGCCUCUCUUUAAUAUUGAUAUGUUUCGCACCACCAUAUUUGAACUCCCUGCCAAUCGUUUACCAACCCAUCACAACAACAAACACCACAAUCCAAUUGAAGCCACAGUCGACAGCCGCACCACCACAUUUCACCGUCGUCCUUUACCAAUGCCACCAAAACGAGGUUGCCGGCAAGAUAAAGGAACCAACAUCAUAGCCUGUAAGGGUAAUCUGUUUGCAGUAUAGUACAAACGAUGGAAGAGUGCAGUCAAAAGAAAUCAGAGAACUCUUCUUCUCAAUUCGAAGUCGUUGAGGAUAAUAAUAACCCAAAAGUACAAGUUAUAAGAAGUGCAGAAGAUGAAUGGGAGCAAAGGACUUUGAAGUUGUAAUUUGGGAGAGAGACUUAUGUGUUUGUAAUCUGGGCAGUGUGUUUGUAGUCUAGGCAGUGUGUUUUUAGUCUGGGCAAUGUGUUUGGGAGGUGUUUGGGCAGUUUGUGCAGUUUGUGUACUUUGCACUGAUCCAUAUUGAUAAUUGUAAUAUCACUAGUCUUUUAUUUAUACAUUCAAGGUAAAAUUUGUAACUUGAAUUUCAUUUCAUAAUCUAAUUUUGAGGUGUAUAAUGCGUUCAGACUGCCAAAGAG